rnacentral:rRNA from 1 species
UUGAGAGUGGCGAACGGUGAGUAAUAUAUCGGAACGUGCCACGUCGUGGGGGAUAACGUAGCAAAGUUACGCUAAUACCGCAUACGAUCUAUGGAUGAAAGCGGGGGAUCGCAAGACCUCGCGCGAUUGGAGCGGCCGAUAUCAGAUUAGGUAGUUGGUGAGGUAAAGGCUCACCAAGCCGACGAUCUGUAGCUGGUCUGAGAGGACGACCAGCCACACUGGGACUGAGACACGGCCCAGACUCCUACGGGAGGCAGCAGUGGGGAAUUUUGGACAAUGGGCGCAAGCCUGAUCCAGCAAUGCCGCGUGCAGGAUGAAGGCCUUCGGGUUGUAAACUGCUUUUGUACGGAACGAAACGGUGAGCUCUAAUACAGUUUGCUAAUGACGGUACCGUAAGAAUAAGCACCGGCUAACUACGUG